GGCUGUUCUCAGGUGACACACCCCAGAAUCAGGCUCCCUCCUCUCUGAGUCACCCGAGAACCGCA
rfam:Myotis davidii contig69573, whole genome shotgun sequence.